CGGUAGGCUUAACACAUGCAAGUCGUGCGAGAAAGUAUCUUCGGAUAUGAGUAGAGCGGCGGACGGGUGAGUAACGCGUAGGAAUCUACCUAGUAGAAGGGGAUAGCCCGGGGAAACCCGGAUUAAUACCGUAUACCUCCUUCGGGAGAAAGAAGGCCUCUCUUUGAAGCUUUCGCUACUAGAUGAGCCUGCGUAAGAUUAGCUUGUUGGUGAGGUAAAGGCUCACCAAGGCGACGAUCUUUAGCUGGUCUGAGAGGACGAUCAGCCACAUUGGGACUGAGACACGGCCCAGACUCCUACGGGAGGCAGCAGUGGGGAAUAUUGGACAAUGGGCGCAAGCCUGAUCCAGCCAUACCGCGUGUGUGAAGAAGGCCUUCGGGUUGUAAAGCACUUUAAGCAGGGAGAAAAAGUUAUAAGUUAAUACCUUAUAGCCUUGAUGUUACCUGCAGAAU
rnacentral:rRNA from 1 species